GGGGAAGGGUUGGUAAUGGGAUUGGUGGAUAGGGGAAGGAUUGGUAAUGGGACUGGUGGAUAGGGGAAGGGUUGGUAAUGGGACUGGUGGAUAGGGGAAGGGUUGGUAAUGGGACUGGUGGAUAGGGGAAGGAUUGGUAAUGGGACUGGUGGAUAGGGGAAGGAUUGGUAAUGGGACUGGUGGAUAGGGGAAGGAUUGGUAAUGGGACUGGUGGAUAGCGGAAGGAUUGGUAAUGGGACUGGUGGAUAGGGGAAGGGUUGGUAAUGGGACUGGUGGAUAGGGGAAGGGUUGGUAAUGGGACUGGUGGAUAGGGGAAGGGUUGGUAAUGGGACUGGUGGAUAGGGGAAGGAUUGGUAAUGGGACUGGUGGAUAGGGGAAGGAUUGGUAAUGGGACUGGUGGAUAGGGGAAGGGUUGGUAAUGGGACUGGUGGAUAGGGGAAGGGUUGGUAAUGGGACUGGUGGAUAGGGGAAGGAUUGGUAAUGGGACUGGUGGAUAGGGGAAGGGUUGGUAAUGGGACUGGUGGAUAGGGGAAGGGUUGGUAAUGGGACUGGUGGAUAGGGGAAGGAUUGGUAAUGGGACUGGUGGAUAGGGGAAGGGUUGGUAAUGGGACUGGUGGAUAGGGGAAGGGUUGGUAAUGGGACUGGUGGAUAGGGGAAGGAUUGGUAAUGGGACUGGUGGAUAGGGGAAGGGUUGGUAAUGGGACUGGUGGAUAGGGGAAGGAUUGGUAAUGGGACUGGUGGAUAGGGGAAGGGUUGGUAAUGGGACAGGUGGAUAGGGGAAGGAUUGGUAAUGGGACUGGUGGAUAGGGGAAGGGUUGGUAAUGGGACUGGUGGAUAGGGGAAGGAUUGGUAAUGGGACUGGUGGAUAGGGGAAGGAUUGGUAAUGGGACUGGUGGAUAGGGGAAGGGUUGGUAAUGGGACUGGUGGAUAGGGGAAGGAUUGGUAAUGGGACUGGUGGAUAGGGGAAGGGUUGGUAAUGGGACUGGUGGAUAGGGGAAGGAUUGGUAAUGGGACAGGUGGAUAGGGGAAGGAUUGGUAAUGGGACUGGUGGAUAGUGGAAGGGUUGGUAAUGGGACUGGUGGAUAGGGGAAGGGUUGGUAAUGGGACUGGUGGAUAGGGGAAGGAUUGGUAAUGGGACUGGUGGAUAGGGGAAGGAUUGGUAAUGGGACAGGUGGAUAGGGGAAGGAUUGGUAAUGGGACUGGUGGAUAAGGGAAGGGUUGGUAAUGGGACAGGUGGAUAGGGGAAGGAUUGGUAAUGGGACUGGUGGAUAG